CAGGUGAAAUAUAAGUUGUUUUGGAGGCAGUAAAUCUAAGAUGGCCCAUAUUCACACAUGAAUGUUGUCUCUUGAUAAGAGACUCAGUGCUGCAGUUGCGAAUGUAGUGACUACUUCCCAUUUCAAAAGACCAUCAUGCUGAUGGAUGAAAAAAGGAGGCAUCUGCUUGUCAACUCAGAGACAACAAGUCUGGCAGAGUUCAUGGAGACUUGAAGUUAGGAAAAUAGUAACAGUUGUGAAGCAUAGUGUGCAGUGGGAAGUAGGGGUGAAGAAGAGAAAUAUUAGUUGUGUGCCUUACAACCAAGGACAGCAUGGCCACCUCAAAGAAGCUCCUUAAGAACACUGAAUCUUAAGAUCUGCAUAAACCUCAUCCAAUAGCAUUCUGAAGAGUCAAAAUAAGAUUUGAAUGCUUCAGCUCCCAAGGUUCCGUGUUUAAGUACUACUAUACAGAAGAGUACAACUAAAAACCAGACAUAAUUGUCAAAGUUUACUGCAAUGAUUCCCUGGGAGCUACAUGGAAUUCCAGAAAUGGACACACAAAAAGGAUGUCUACUUCUUGUUUUUUAAAAACAGCCUGUGGAUUUGCUGUUUUUGAGUAUGCAAGCAACUGUAAGAAUAUUGACCAGUUAUGAGAAUUAUGUGGCCAUCCUGAUGUUGCUGGAUUACAACAUCUAGAAUACCAGGACAACA